UACAGAGGGUGCGAACGUUGCUCGGAAUUACUGGGCGUAAAGCGCGUGUAGGCGGGACGGUAAGUCGGAAGUGAAAUCCCCGGGCUCAACCCGGGAACUGCUUUCGAAACUGUCGUCCUCGAGUACCGGAGAGGGUGGCGGAAUUCCUGGUGUAGAGGUGAAAUUCGUAGAUAUCAGGAGGAACACCGGUGGCGAAGGCGGCCACCUGGACGGUCACUGACGCUGAGACGCGAAAGCGUGGGGAGCAAACAGG
rnacentral:rRNA from 1 species